rnacentral:tRNA from 1 species
GGGGAUGUGGCUUAGCCGUAGAGCACUUGCCUGGAGCGCAGGAGGCCCCGGUUCCAUCCCCA